rnacentral:sRNA from 1 species
CAGUGCCACGGCCGUUUGAGCUAAGGGUCGGUUAGACAAUAAAAGGCGCAGAUUACUGCGCCUUUUUU